rnacentral:rRNA from 1 species
GUGAGGAAUUUUCCGCAAUGGGCGAAAGCCUGACGGAGCAAUGCCGCGUGAAGGAUGAAGGCCUAUGGGUUGUAAACUUCUUUUCUCAGAAAAGAAUUAUGACGGUAUCUGAGGAAUAAGCAUCGGCUAACUCUGUGCCAGCAGCCGCGGUAAGACAGAGGAUGCAAGCGUUAUCCGGAAUGAUUGGGCGUAAAGCGUCUGUAGGUUGUUUAAAAAGUAUCCUGUCAAAGAUUCGGGCUUAACCCUAGAUAGGCAGAAUAAACUUUUAAGCUAGAGUUUGGUAGAGGCAGAGGGAAUUCCCGGUGGAGCGGUGAAAUGCGUAGAUAUCGGGAGGAACACCAAAGGCGAAGGCACUCUGCUGGGCCAAUACUAACACUGAGAGACGAAAGCGAGGGGAGCAAAUGGGAUUAGAAACCCGGGUAGUCC